rnacentral:rRNA from 1 species
GUGCCAGCAGCCGCGGUAAUACGGAGGGUGCAAGCGUUGCUCGGAAUUAUUGGGCGUAAAGGGUAGGUAGGUGGUCUUAUUUGUCUGGGGUGAAAUCCUUGAGCUUAACUCAAGAAGUGCCUCAGAAACGGUGAGACUAGAGUUCUGGAGAGGGUCGUGGAAUUCCCGGUGUAGCGGUGAAAUGCGUAGAGAUCGGGAGGAACACCAGAGGCGAAGGCGGCGACCUGGACAGAUACUGACACUCAACUACGAAAGCGUGGGGAGCAAACAGGAUUAGAAACCCCCGUAGUCC